rnacentral:rRNA from 1 species
UACGUAGGGCGCAAGCGUUAUCCGGAAUUAUUGGGCGUAAAGAGCUCGUAGGCGGUUUGUCGCGUCUGCCGUGAAAGUCCGGGGCUCAACUCCGGAUCUGCGGUGGGUACGGGCAGACUAGAGUGAUGUAGGGGAGACUGGAAUUCCUGGUGUAGCGGUGAAAUGCGUAGAGAUUCGGAGGAACACCAGUGGCGAAGGCGA